rnacentral:rRNA from 1 species
GAUGAACGCUGGCGGCGUGCCUAAUACAUGCAAGUCGAGCGAACGGACGAGAAGCUUGCUUCUCUGAUGUUAGCGGCGGACGGGUGAGUAACACGUGGAUAACCUACCUAUAAGACUGGGAUAACUUCGGGAAACCGGAGCUAAUACCGGAUAAUAUUUUGAACCGCAUGGUUCAAAAGUGAAAGACGGUCUUGCUGUCACUUAUAGAUGGAUCCGCGCUGCAUUAGCUAGUUGGUAAGGUAACGGCUUACCAAGGCAACGAUGCAUAGCCGACCUGAGCGGGUGAUCGGCCACCCUGGAACUGAGACACGGUCCAGACUCCUACGGGAGGCAGCAGUAGGGAAUCUUCCGCAAUGGGCGAGUGCCGGACGGAGCAACGCCGCGUGAGUGAUGAAGGUCUUCGGAUCGUAAAGCUCUGUUAUUAGGGAAGAACAUAUGUGUAAGUAACUGUGCACAUCUUGACGGUACCUAAUCAGAAAGCCACGGCUAACUACGUG